UCAGGAUGAACGCUGGCGGCGUGCCUAACACAUGCAAGUCGAGCGGAGAUAAGUGAAGCUUAGCGAUCUAUCUUAGCGGCGGAUGGGUGAGUAACACGUGGGUAACCUGCCCUGCACUGGGGAAUAACAGCUGGAAACGGCUGUUAAUGCCGCAUAUGCGCACGGAGCCGCAUGGCUUUGGGCGGAAAGAUUUAUCGGUGCAGGAUGGGCCCGCGCCGGAUUAACUAGUUGGCGGGGUAACGGCCCACCAAGGUGAUGAUCCGUAGCCGACCUGAGAGGGUGACCGGCCACAUUGGGACUGAGACACGGCCCAAACUCCUACGGGAGGCAGCAGUGGGGGAUAUUGCACAAUGGGGGAAACCCUGAUGCAGCGACGCCGCGUGAAGGAUGAAGUAUUUCGGUAUGUAAACUUCUAUCAGCGGGGAAGAAGAUGACGGUACCCGACUAAGAAGCCCCGGCUAACUACGUGCCAGCAGCCGC
rnacentral:rRNA from 1 species